rnacentral:lncRNA from 1 species
CGACAGAUUUAUUUUAGAGAAAAUAAACCUGAGAGGGGCAUCUGGGCCACUUUUGGUCAGGAACAUUCUCUCUUACAGACUAAGAGUAUAUAUUGGUUUUAGGGUGAAGGGGCUUAUCACAAGCCUGGAUUGUUUCUGUGUGGGGGAGGAAUUUAUGGUGGGGUUGGAAUGUCACAUGACAUUGUGGAAUGUCUCUGGGCAGAGGGGAGGUUGGUUAUCUUGGGGCUGACCUCUUUCUGGCUGGAGGGGGGUUAUUUCGGGGCUAGCAUGUCUCUGGUUGGGGACAAGUUUGGAAUGUUUCUGGCUGGAGAUGUUAUAUGUGGUUUAUGGUCAUGCUGACCUUAACCAUUAGGCUGAUGCCCUUUGGAUUUAGGUGGUUUUUGAGUAAGGUGAACUUUAGAAUGAGGGCUUGUCCAAGAUGGUGAUGCUCCUGCUCUGUCAAUUACAAUACUAACAUAAAAGAUCACUCAUCACAGAUCAUCAUAACAGAUAUAAUAAUAAUAAUGAAAAAUUUGAGAUACUACGAGAAUUACAAAAAUGAGACACUGACAAAAAGUGAACACAUACUAUCAGAAAAAAUGGCCCAAAUAGACUUGCUCUAUGCACAGUUGACAUAAACCUUAAAUUGGUUAAAAAAAAUGCAAUAUCUGCAAAGCAGAAUAAAACAAAGUGCAAUUAAACAAGAUACACCUGUUUAGUGCAUGAGGAAAGCAGGGACUCUGUUUUCUUAUUCAAACUUAAAUUGAGAGUGUUUGUCUCAUUUAAAGUAUCAGUGUGCUGGUGUGAAGCAGGUGAGGAGCCUGCAGUGGGUGGCAUAGACUGAAGCCAGUGACUCCAAGCUGAGGCCAGCCUUGAGCCUGCGAAUAUAGGGAAGGAAAUGGAGCUUCCCUUGGUGUUUCCUGGGCAGCCUGCCCUCCCCUGCACGUAGCCUCCAGCUAUUUGGAACAGCUAAGGAGUGUGGAUUCUGUAAGCUACAGAGACCUGGAAAGCUGGAGACCUGCAUGCAGAUGUGGUUGUGGGGGCUGAGAAUGGGGCAAGAGAGCAUGUUGAGUUCUGUCCUUUCUGAGGCUUUACCUCCAGUGUCUGGGACCAUUUCCUGGACAAUGUUUUCAUUUUGGUAUUAGAAUUGCGGGAGUCAGACUGUAGUUUGUAAUGAAAAAGAAAAAAAAAUUAAAGUUCCUUUAAAUCAGGCCCAGAGAGGCAUUUAAAAUGUAACAGGAGUCAUAUCUCACUCUCCACUUGAGCUAAUUACCUCUUGAAGCCACUUGUUCUGUGGGCUCUAAAUUAAUGCUAAGUAGAACUUUUACCCAAUAGUUCAACAAUGUAAUGAGUCACUAACCAAUGUUAUUUGUAUGAACCAAUGAGAAUUCCUGGACAACUUUUGUAAGUUCUUUGUCAUUUGUCCUUUUUUCUUAAAACUCAAGCCUCUGCUUUAUUCUCCAGAGCACUCCCCAAGGCCAAUUGGAGGUGUAUCCUGGGAAGUUGUCCUCAACCUCAGGCCAAAUGAACCCUCUAUUAAUUUUGCCCCAGCUUCUGCCAUUAGGUUGAUACAUAAGUGAAGAAAAUCUGUGAAGGUCACUCUUACAGCUUCAGACUGGAGAAAGGGUUUAUGAAUUUGACAGUUUAUUCAGGUCAGAAUCCUAAACUGAUGCCAUGUGAGAGCUUCUUGCUGGUGGAUGUUAAGGCACUAAAGGAGGGAGUGUUGCCACGCUGAGGAUGGUCAGGGAAGCAUGUUGAGCUCACAGUUCAAUCCUUAGGUUCCUGGUCUGUUCCACCCCAGGCUCCAUGCGAGGGGUCAGAGUCUGACUCCCAAGCUUGGAAUACUCUUAGCCUCCCGAAUGCGGGUUUUCCUUGCGAACUGUAGGUGCAGGGGGCUGCUUCUCUGAUCUAGUUUAAAUGUUUGCUUUUCUUCUCCUUUAGUUCCUUUAUUGAAUAUUGCUGUCAUAUAACUCCAGUUUUUCCAUGCAUUUAAUAAUGAUGUUCUUGUUGGUGUGUCUAUCUUCUUGGCUGCGAAUGAAUAGAUUGAAAGAUAGGGUAUGAGAAAGCCUUGGCCUUGCCCCACAGCAGUCUCAUCCCAGUGGCCCUCCCUCCUGCUUUCUCUCUCUCUCCCUCUCUGUCUCUCUCUCUCCCUCCCUCUUUCUUUCUUUCUUUCUUUCUUUCUGAAGGAGUCUUGCUCUGUUCCCCAGGCUGGAGUAUAGUGGCAUGAUCUCGGCUCACUGCAACCUUUGCCUCCUGGGUUCAAGUGAUUCUCCUGCCUCAGUCUCCCCAGUAGCUGGGACUACAGGCAUCUGCCACCAAGGCAGGCUAAUUUUCGUAUUUUUAGUAGAGGCAGGGCUUCACCAUGUUGGCCAGUCUGGUCUCGAACUCCUGACCUCAAAUGAUUCACCCACCUCUGCCUCCCAAACUGCUGGGAUUACAGGCGUGACUCCCUCCUGCUUUAGUCUUGCCUCACCAGGCCUGGGCACCCUUGCGGCUCUGAGGCCCGGGGAUUACUCUCUCCAUUAGACUCAGUGUGGAGUUUCCUCCUCCUACUUGUGACCCACCCUGCCCAGGAGGAAAAAUCAGGAAGGGCCCACUGCAUACAGGCAAUGCCAGUGUCUGCUUGGCAAAGCCUGAAGAAAGUCCUGUAUAAAUGCAAAUAUCACGUCCGGGCACAGGGAGGAUGCGUGCCCUGUAGCCAUGAACCCGUCAUUCCCACUCCACUCAGCCUCCAGCCAGGGCGGGGAACCUGAGUCAGUGUCCAAUCAAUGGGGCUGGGGACCGUGCACACUGUUCAGUCAGGUGUGAAGCUGUCACCCGCAGGUGCUGGGCUUCGUUGCUGUUUCUGGCAGGGUCCUGCUUCUCGCGCCAGCUGCACUGGGUUUGGCGUCUCUGCUGUUCGCUGAGAUCUGCACUCUCCAGGAGCCAUAGGGAGGACGCCAGGACAGCCCCGAAGACGAGAAUGCCUCGCUCCUCCUAGGACGGGAGGAAAAUCCCACAGAUCCUGCCUACUCCAAGCAGCCGCGCCCCUCGGGAGACCACCCCAGUUGGAGGGGCCCACUCCAGCCACCGCUACACCGGGACGCGCUCCUCCUCCCCCUGUGCCCGCCCCUUCUCAUGAGGGACCACCAGGAGGCCCCUCGAUUCCCCAGGUAUGGGAAC